rnacentral:rRNA from 1 species
AUUGAACGCUGGCGGCAGGCCUAACACAUGCAAGUCGAGCGGAUGAAGGGAGCUUGCUCCUGGAUUCAGCGGCGGACGGGUGAGUAAUGCCUAGGAAUCUGCCUGGUAGUGGGGGAUAACGCCCGGAAACGGGCGCUAAUACCGCAUACGUCCUGAGGGAGAAAGUGGGGGAUCUUCGGACCUCACGCUAUCAGAUGAGCCUAGGUCGGAUUAGCUAGUUGGUGGGGUAAAGGCCUACCAAGGCGACGAUCCGUAACUGGUCUGAGAGGAUGAUCAGUCACACUGGAACUGAGACACGGUCAGACUCCUACGGGGGGCAGCAGUGGGGAAUAUUGGACAAUGGGCGAAAGCCUGAUCCAGCCAUGCCGCGUGUGUGAAGAAGGUCUUCGGAUUGUAAAGCACUUUAAGUUGGGAGGAAGGGCAGUAAGUUAAUACCUUGCUGUUUUGACGUUACCAACAGAAUAAGCACCGGCUAACUUCGUG